UUAAGUUAUUAAGGGCGCACGGUGGAUGCCUUGGCACUAGAAGCCGAUGAAGGACGUUACUAACGACGAUAUGCUUUGGGGAGCUGUAAGUAAGCUUUGAUCCAGAGAUUUCCGAAUGGGGAAACCCAGCAUGAGUUAUGUCAUGUUAUCGAUAUGUGAAUACAUAGCAUAUCAGAAGGCACACCCGGAGAACUGAAACAUCUUAGUACCCGGAGGAAGAGAAAGAAAAUUCGAUUCCCUUAGUAGCGGCGAGCGAAACGGGAAGAGCCCAAACCAACAAGCUUGCUUGUUGGGGUUGUAGGACACUCUAUACGGAGUUACAAAGGACGACAUUAGACGAAUCAUCUGGAAAGAUGAAUCAAAGAAGGUAAUAAUCCUGUAGUCGAAAAUGUUNNNNNNNNNNNNNNNNNNNNNNNNUCUCUCUUGAGUGGAUCCUGAGUACGACGGAGCACGUGAAAUUCCGUCGGAAUCUGGGAGGACCAUCUCCUAAGGCUAAAUACUCUCUAGUGACCGAUAGUGAACCAGUACCGUGAGGGAAAGGUGAAAAGCACCCCGGAAGGGGAGUGAAAUAGAACCUGAAACCGUGUGCUUACAAGUAGUCAGAGCCCGUUAAUGGGUGAUGGCGUGCCUUUUGUAGAAUGAACCGGCGAGUUACGAUUUGAUGCAAGGUUAAGCAGUAAAUGUGGAGCCGUAGCGAAAGCGAGUCUGAAUAGGGCGUUUAGUAUUUGGUCGUAGACCCGAAACCAGGUGAUCUACCCUUGGUCAGGUUGAAGUUCAGGUAACACUGAAUGGAGGACCGAACCGACUUACGUUGAAAAGUGAGCGGAUGAACUGAGGGUAGCGGAGAAAUUCCAAUCGAACCUGGAGAUAGCUGGUUCUCUCCGAAAUAGCUUUAGGGCUAGCCUCAAGUGAUGAUUAUUGGAGGUAGAGCACUGUUUGGACGAGGGGCCCCUCUCGGGUUACCGAAUUCAGACAAACUCCGAAUGCCAAUUAAUUUAACUUGGGAGUCAGAACAUGGGUGAUAAGGUCCGUGUUCGAAAGGGAAACAGCCCAGACCACCAGCUAAGGUCCCAAAAUAUAUGUUAAGUGGAAAAGGAUGUGGCGUUGCCCAGACAACUAGGAUGUUGGCUUAGAAGCAGCCAUCAUUUAAAGAGUGCGUAAUAGCUCACUAGUCGAGUGACACUGCGCCGAAAAUGUACCGGGGCUAAACAUAUUACCGAAGCUGUGGAUUGUCCUUUGGACAAUGGUAGGAGAGCGUUCUAAGGGCGUUGAAGCAUGAUCGUAAGGACAUGUGGAGCGCUUAGAAGUGAGAAUGCCGGUGUGAGUAGCGAAAGACGGGUGAGAAUCCCGUCCACCGAUUGACUAAGGUUUCCAGAGGAAGGCUCGUCCGCUCUGGGUUAGUCGGGUCCUAAGCUGAGGCCGACAGGCGUAGGCGAUGGAUAACAGGUUGAUAUUCCUGUACCACCUAUAAUCGUUUUAAUCGAUGGGGGGACGCAGUAGGAUAGGCGAAGCGUGCGAUUGGAUUGCACGUCUAAGCAGUAAGGCUGAGUAUUAGGCAAAUCCGGUACUCGUUAAGGCUGAGCUGUGAUGGGGAGAAGACAUUGNGUCUUCGAGUCGUUGAUUUCACACUGCCGAGAAAAGCCUCUAGAUAGAAAAUAGGUGCCCGUACCGCAAACCGACACAGGUAGUCAAGAUGAGAAUUCUAAGGUGAGCGAGCGAACUCUCGUUAAGGAACUCGGCAAAAUGACCCCGUAACUUCGGGAGAAGGGGUGCUCUUUAGGGUUAACGCCCAGAAGAGCCGCAGUGAAUAGGCCCAAGCGACUGUUUAUCAAAAACACAGGUCUCUGCUAAACCGUAAGGUGAUGUAUAGGGGCUGACGCCUGCCCGGUGCUGGAAGGUUAAGAGGAGUGGUUAGCUUCUGCGAAGCUACGAAUCGAAGCCCCAGUAAACGGCGGCCGUAACUAUAACGGUCCUAAGGUAGCGAAAUUCCUUGUCGGGUAAGUUCCGACCCGCACGAAAGGCGUAACGAUUUGGGCACUGUCUCAACGAGAGACUCGGUGAAAUCAUAGUACCUGUGAAGAUGCAGGUUACCCGCGACAGGACGGAAAGACCCCGUGGAGCUUUACUGUAGCCUGAUAUUGAAAUUCGGCACAGCUUGUACAGGAUAGGUAGGAGCCUUUGAAACGUGAGCGCUAGCUUACGUGGAGGCGCUGGUGGGAUACUACCCUAGCUGUGUUGGCUUUCUAACCCGCACCACUUAUCGUGGUGGGAGACAGUGUCAGGCGGGCAGUUUGACUGGGGCGGUCGCCUCCUAAAAGGUAACGGAGGCGCUCAAAGGUUCCCUCAGAAUGGUUGGAAAUCAUUCAUAGAGUGUAAAGGCAUAAGGGAGCUUGACUGCGAGACCUACAAGUCGAGCAGGGUCGAAAGACGGACUUAGUGAUCCGGUGGUUCCGCAUGGAAGGGCCAUCGCUCAACGGAUAAAAGCUACCCCGGGGAUAACAGGCUUAUCUCCCCCAAGAGUUCACAUCGACGGGGAGGUUUGGCACCUCGAUGUCGGCUCAUCGCAUCCUGGGGCUGUAGUCGGUCCCAAGGGUUGGGCUGUUCGCCCAUUAAAGCGGUACGCGAGCUGGGUUCAGAACGUCGUGAGACAGUUCGGUCCCUAUCCGUCGUGGGCGUAGGAAAUUUGAGAGGAGCUGUCCUUAGUACGAGAGGACCGGGAUGGACAUACCUCUGGUGUACCAGUUGUCGUGCCAACGGCAUAGCUGGGUAGCUAUGUGUGGACGGGAUAAGUGCUGAAAGCAUCUAAGCAUGAAGCCCCCCUCAAGAUGAGAUUUCCCAACUUCGGUUAUAAGAUCCCUCAAAGAUGAUGAGGUUAAUAGGUUCGAGGUGGAAGCAUGGUGACAUGUGGAGCUGACGAAUACUAAUCGAUCGAAGACUUAAUCAA
rnacentral:rRNA from 1 species